AGAGAGAGAGUUCGAGCAGGGGAGAGGCAGAGAGAGAGGCAGACACAGAAUCCCAAGCAGGCUCCAGACUCUGAACUGUCACCACAGAGCUUGAUGCAGGGCUCAAACUCAUGAACUGUGAGAUCAUGACCUGAGCCAAAAUCCAACGUUUAACCAACUGAGCCACCCAGAUGCCCUGAGACAUUGCCAUUCUUAAAGUUCACUUAAAAUUCAAGGAAUGGGUGGCUCAGUUGGUUAAGUGCCCAACUCUUGAUUUUGGCUCAGGUCAUGAUCUCACGGUUUUGAGACUGAGUCCCAUGUAAAACUCCAUGUUAAGCAUGGAGCUUGCUUGGUGAUCUCCUCUCCUCUCCUUCUCCUCUCCCUCUCCCCUACCUUUCCCCUUCCUCUCCCCUCCCCUGCUCAUGUAUGGACUCUCUCUCAAAAUAAAUUAAAAAAAAAAAAAGAAAUAGGGUCUUUGCUGAUGAUUAAAGUGAGGUUUUAAGGUUUUUAGGGUGGAUCCUAAUCCAAUAUGCCAAGUAUCUUCAUAAAAAGGGAAAAUUUGUACAUGGACAUGUACAAGGGGAAGACUGCAGGAAGACACAAGGAGAACACCAUCUACAAGCCAAGCAAUUCUGGAAGCCACCAGAAGGUAAGAGAGAAGCAUGGAAGAUUCUUCCUCAGAACCCUCAGAGGGAACCCAUCCUGUUGACUUCUUGAUUUUGUACUUUUGGCCUUCAGAAUUGUGAGACAAUACAUUUCUGUUGUUUAAACCAUCAAGUUUGUAAUAUUUGUUAGAGCUACCUCAGGAAACUAUACGGACAUCAUGAAUAUAAAUCUGUCAUAAUAUGCUGUCAGGCAGACAAGUUCAAAGAAAUUAUCAAUUAAAAAAAUGUACUAGUGCUCUCCAUACCUACUAGCCUGAAAAAAGAAAAGUUUUGUACAACUAGAAUUGUUAUGUAGUUUUCUGGCACCUGUCUAAAUUGAGAGAGUAAUACCAGUCUAAUCAGGAAUAGUAAGAAAAACACAUUUUCUAUGAAGAACUACAUCGUUCCCAGACCCUAACAUAUAAGUGAUAACAGUGAAUGUCAUGUCUAGUAAUAAAAAGUGCUGAAAUAACAAUAUAUUGCUAAAAUGAGCUUAUUAUAUAUUUUAUUGUGCCCAAAAGCAAAAUGAAAUUUUAUGAAGAGAACCAUAUUGGCUGUUUCAAUUUACCAAGAUACUUAAAUAUAUACUCUUAAAUUUAAAAGGUAUAUCAUUAACACUAGAAAAAACUUGGGGGAAAAAAUCCCAUCAUCUCUAAUAAUCAUUUUCAUAGGUUAUCAUCAGACUACAUAUAAUAUGCAUUUUUCCAUGCUUAACCAUACAUUUUCCAUGGUUAAGGCACAGUCUAGAUUAGGUAAAUCAUAAUAUAUGCAACUGUUCUUUUUUAACUGAUCAUUUUGGUUGCUUUUGAUCUUCUAAUAUUAUUAACAUUAUUGUGUUGAAUAUCUGCAUUUAUUUUUUUCAUAUUUUAAAUUAUUUCCUUAAGUACAGAUUGCUGGAAGUAAAAAACUACAGUAAGUAUUUUUUUUUAACGUUUAUUUAUUUUUGAGACAGAGAGAGACAGAGCAUGAACAGGGGAGGGGCAGAGAGAGAGGGAGACACAGAAUCUGAAAAAGGCUCCAGGCUCUGAGCGGUCAGCACAGAGCCCGACACGGGGCUCGAACUCACGGACCGUGAGAUCAUGACCUGAGCUGAAGUAGGACGCUUAACCGAUCGAGCCACCCAGGCGCCCCAAAAACUACAGACUCCUUACUUUAUAAAAUGCACAUGUAUUCUGGAGACUGGCUGUACAACAAUGUGAAUACCCUGGACACUAUUGAACUGUACACCUAAAAAUGACUAAGAUGAGAGAGCGCCUGUGCAUGUAUGCUUGAGGGAGGGGCAGAGAGAAUCUUAAGCAGGCCUCAUGCUCAGUGUGGAACCUGAUGUGGGACUUGAUCUCCUGACCCCACAGAUCAUGACCUGAGCUGAAAUCAAGAGUCAGACGCUCAAAUGAUUGAGCAACCCAGGUGACCCUAUCUUCUGCCAAUUUUAAUGUAAGAGUAUGUGAAUGAGGAAUUCCUUAUAACACUGGGAACUGCUUAGCCCAUCGGUGUCCUAACUACUUUCAGUUCACUUAUAUAAUUAAUAUGUGACGGAAAAUCCUAGUCAUGCCUACAAAAUGUAAUUUAGAAAAUACAUUGUAAAAUAUAAUUCAUUUACUGCCUCUGUGUAAGUAAAAUCUUACAAAAUAAUUUAGCAAAUAAAUGCUGUAUCUAUUAAGAAAACAUUCAGUGCUUUUCCACAAAAUAUUCCAUAAAAUAUUAUAAUCAACAUUGAUAAAGUCUCAAAUUCAUCAAUUUGAGGUGAAAGUGGGUGGAAAGUGGGAACUAAGGCAAAGGUUCUCCAUCUGUGGUCCACAGACAGGCUAUAUAUAUGUAUGUUCACAAGCACCCUGAAACUAUCUGCAAGAUCUUGUGUGUUUAUCUUUUCUGGGAAGAGGAUCCAUAGAUUUCCUGAAUUUUUAAGAGGUCUGAGGCCCAAGGAAGGAUAAGGAUUUUGUCUGGACCUCUAGUCUAGAAUAUACAAAAUGUUUUGUUUUUUUGUUUUUUUGUUUUUGUUUUUAGAUCUCUAUGUUUUAAAGUAUGACCACACUGAUUGGAGUGUUUCAACGUUGAAUGUCUUUCUUACAAAAACCACAUCUAUAAUGUAUCAUCUAUAACUAUUUCCACUUCUGGCUUCAUAAAUGUGGUUCAAGCAUUCAAAGGCACUUGGCAAGCAAUCCAAAUACAGAAUUCUCUAAAUCGUUAUAGUAUUCCCUCUAUUCUUUUAGAGUUGCUUGUCCAAAUGUAUUUCAACAGCAAAUUCUCCAAAGUAUACAAUUCAGUUUUGAAAGAAAUAAUAACUUUUUCUGUAGUCACGUAUCACUGUUUUAUUAUGUAUUUCUAAUACAAGUACAACUGGCAUAACCUGGUUUGGGAGCAAACAUAGGGACACUUGUAAAGCAAGUGACAGAUAACAACACGAGAGUGAAGUCAAUUAAAGCAAGGGCAUGGAGAAUGCUUUGGACACUGGUCAGAAUUCUUUGCACAGAAAUUUAGUUCACAGGUUAAUGUUGUUAUAAGAUUAAGUGGACAUCAGCCAAGAGAGUUUGCUACUGUACCUUAACUUUACUACAGUACUUUAUUAUUACUUUAAGCUUGCAAAGUAGUUAUUAUUCUCAUCUUCUAAGUAAAGGAAUUAAGACUCAAAUGAUUUAAUGUUCCUAAGGUCAUGCAGUGACAAUGAAAACACGGGGUUCACACUCAGUCUUUAAUCAAAAUCUUCUCUCAAUUAAGUCACACUGCCUCAUAUCUUAAGCCCAAUCAAUUACAAAAGAUAUUAGUAAAGCAUAUCUGUGGCAUCAUAUAGUAUCAAAACCUAAAAGGCAAAAUGAAGAUUCUGUAAAAAAAAUUUAAUCCUAAGUAUGUGGCAAAAUGGUUAGUAAUUACAAAGAUUGUGAUCUCAACUUUUUGUAUGGCUUCAAAAGACCUGACUACUAAAAAAGGAAAUUCAUCAUACGGUUUCAAAUCUCAUUCAGUUAACUAAAAAUACCACAAGUUAAAGCAGACAGGCCAGCUUUAGAUAUAGUAGAGCACUCUUGGUCAUACUCCCAAGUUCUUUCCUUCCCUAUCUGCACAAUCCCCCUAAGUGAUCUCAUCUAUUCUAUGACCAUAAAGGAAUGUUAAUGAGCACCUCAUAUGUAACCUGUCCAAAAUGGAAACUACCUCUUAUCUAUACCAUCCCAAGUUUUCUCCUUCCCAGUAAAAGGCCUCACCGUCUACUGAGAUGUUCAAGUCUACGCUAAGACAUCAUCUUUGACUCCUCCUUUUCCUCAUUACCUAUAUUUGACUUAACAAAUAAGUUUUGUCCUACCUUCCUAAUAGAUUUUAUAACUGUCCACUUCUCUCCAUUUCCAUUUGACAACACUCUGCUCUAAGCUACUAUUAUCUAUUGCCUGGAAUUCUGUAAUAAUCUAGUAUCUUGUCUCCCUGACUCAAUUUUUGCCACGUCUGUAUUUUCUACACAAUAGCUAAAGUGUUCUUUCAAAGAUCUAAGGAUGUUUAAAAUUCUCCAAUGAUUUCCCACUCCUGUAUUUCUUUUAACUUAAAAUAGUCUUAAAUAUUUUACUUAAAGUAAGAAUAUUUUACUUAAAACGCCCUACAAGAUUCUCAUGAUCUAAUCCAUGCCUUGGUUCCUCAAUGUUAUAGCUUCUCUUUUUCUUGACCAUACUUUAUUUACAUGGUCAACUCCUCUUAAUUCUAGAGCUUUGUACUUCCUAUUCUUCCCUCUGCCUGGAAUAUUUUCCUGGCUUUUUUGUAUAGUUGGUUUAUUUCUACAAUUCAGGCCUUGGUUUAAAACGCCAGCUUUUCCGACCACUUUUUAAAAAAUUGUGCAGUCCUUUCAGGUCCCGCCUCGUCCCAGUUACUGUCUAUCAUAUUGACCUGUUUUCUUCAUACCACUUAAAACAUCUAAAAUUAUCUUAUUUGUUGGCUUACCUCUUGACUAUUUGUCUCUUCUCAUUAAAAUGAAAGCUCUAAAAGAGGAACUAUAUUCACAAGGCUUAGAUUAAUGCCUUGAACAUACAGGGUGAUUUUUAGCCUAGGCAAAUUUUAGGUAACCCCACAGAAUCAGUUAACCAGUACAUUCAAUGAUAACAUUUCUAAUACACUGUAUUUUGCCUUUU